rnacentral:rRNA from 1 species
CCCUUAGAUGUUCUGGGCCGCACGCGCGCUACACUGACGGAGGCAGCGAGCAUGUCCUUCGCCGAGAGGUGUGGGGAAUCUUGUGAGUCUCCGUCGUGCUGGGGAUAGAUGGUUGCAAUUGUCGAUCUUGAACGAGGAAUUCCUAGUAAGUGCAAGUCAUUAACUUGCGCUGAUUACGUCCCUGCCCUUUGUACACACCGCCCGUCGCUCCUACCGAUGAAUGGUCCGGUGAGGAUUCGGGAUGACCUUUGAUGCUGGUCUAACCACAUCACUGACUGUCAGAACUUAUUCAAACCUUAUCAUUUAAAGGAAGGAGAAGUCGUAACA